UGCCAAGGGAGAAAACAGAAAAGAUUCAGGACGGGCUGCAGCUCUGUUGCGCCGGCAGGAAGCGCCUUCCCUGCCAGUCCUCCUGAUAAAGUGAGAGGUGCGGAGGACCAGCCCUUUUCAUUCCCCUGAAGGCAGGGAGAUCUUCCUAACCCAGAAUCCAAAAUGCUGCAGUUCCAGAAGGGCCUGCCUGUGGUUCCAGGCAAACACCAGGCAGCUCCAGAGCACAGGGUGGGUCUGGCAGGCAGCUGGGAGCAUGUUAUGGACUCGGGCUGGAAGGGGAAUGAGUUUCCUUUCCCUACAGCAGCUGUCCCAGUGCCCUGCUGCUUGCAAAUGUCCUGAGUGACCAGUCUGGGCUCCCUGUCCAGUGCACCCCGACAUGUUCCCUGGGAUGAAUUCCCAGCGACAUGUUCCCUGGGAUGAAUUCCCAGCGUCUCCCUCUGCUCCUGUCACAUGCUGUUUUGAGGAACCAUCCCUGGCUCCCUGUUGAUGAUUCCUGAUGUACGGGCUGCCCAAGCACAACCCCUUCAGGCGUGGGAAGCCGACUUCCUUCCCGGCGGGUGGAAACAGCCAGUGAGCAGAGUGUUUUGGGGGGUCCUCUUGUCUGUUCCUACAGGGCAUUCACUGGUGACCCACACUGACACUGCUUUUUGGAGGACAAGGCAGAGUUGACCAUCCCAGUCUUGCCUGGAGGUCAUAGGACCGUUGUCACUGCAGCCUCAGGUCUGAUGCAUAAUCCCAUGACCCUCCAGAUCUGAGCCAUGACCCACUCUGGGCCCUGCCGGCGGGGAGGCGGUGGGCCCAUGGGGGCUGCCUCACUGGCCUCCCUCGUCCUCUAUUCCGGGUUGGGGUUGGCUCUCAGCACACUGGGGAAAAGGGUGGGGUCGAUGACUUGUCCCUGGCUCCCUCCCCUUGCCCCAUGCCUGCCAUAACCGCAGCUUCAGAGAAAGGUGCCACACUCGCUUGGCUGACAAUGUCGGGGAGUCCCCUGGGCUCCACACCAGGGCGUGUGCCCUUGGAAAACCACGGUGACUGAAUCAUGUCCCUUUCAGCCAAAACUGGAAGACAGCCCAGCUCCCUGCCUUCAGGUGACCAGAUCUCUAAGUCACAUUACUGGCCCCAGGGUCAAGUCCAGGCUCCCCAGCUGGGGUACCUCCCAGGCUGAGUACAGGCCUUGCUCCCUCCUUCCUCCCUGCACGUGCUCUGAGCCUCCAGCCCGACGCCUGGGAUGCCGGUGCCCCUUGGGCCCCAGACCCUACUACUCUUGAGUGACAGGCCUCUUCCUAGGGGUUUCUGUGCAUCCGUCACAUCACCCACGUUAGAGUCCCUUCCUGUGAGGACAGAAGGGCCCUGAAGACAGAGCCGGCCCCUGGUGAGCUCUGCUUUCCCGCACUGACCCCUCCUGGGCUGCAGCUCCCCACCUGGCAGCUGCCGCCCCCCAUGGCCCUGGUCGAGGUCACCUGUCGUUCCCGUCCCCACCACUCACCAAGCGCUCCCAGGUUCUCCGUCUGGAAGACCCUCUGCAGCGGGGGGAUGUAAAUGACCGCCAGCUGCCCCAGGAUGGACCCCAGGACGGAGUAGAGGAACAUGUGGUUCCUGAGAAAGCCGAUCUCAAAUAUCAGCUUGGUCUGCAGGGAGAAGGUCACACGGGGGAUUGUGUGCUGUCCACACCCCAGGUACAGGCAGGGGAGCUCUGACUGCCCACGCUGAGCCAGAGCCGCUCAAUGCUGCGGGCAGGGUCGGGGCGCUGCUGUCGAGAACACACAGCAGCUCUGCAGCGAGGAGGGUCAGCCCGGGUCUCACCUGAGAGCGGCAGGUCAAGGCGUUGAAGAGAUCGAAAAACACAAAACAAGUGAACGUCAUCGUCGUGGUGCGGGGAGUGCUUGCUCUGUCUUCAGGCAUCUGGAAGGUGAGCACAAAGAUCGUGGCCCGUCCUGGCAUAGAGCUCCCUGAACCUGCAGGCCAUGAAAAGGUGACCCAGGCCUAGAUCCAAAGCAAACAAUCACCUCUAGAGUGUAACACAGGAGGAUAUUUAGCAGAUUUCAAAUUGUUUCCUGGUGACAAGGGAACAGGGGGCAGCCUGUCCUCAUGUACAUUUCAACUCCCGUCUCGGCAAAGUCAUCUCCACCCCGCUGGCCUCUGUAGUUCCCAGGCACACACCUGGCGACCUCCCUUCUUUCAAGGGUCACCCAGUCCCUUUGCCUCAUGCACCCCACGCCUCUGAUGGCAUCACAUUGUCCGGUGUGUGUACAUGUUUGCCUCUCCCAGAUGUGAGCUGUGGCAGGAGGGCAGGGACUGCAGUCCCCAGCGUCUGCACCGCACCAGGGCUUGGAGAACAGGCCGGGGUGACCCUCGCUCACCUCCUUCCAGAAGAUAAAGAGGGUCCCGCUGAUGAUGAUGGCCGCGGACAUGAGGAUCUUCAGGAUGAGGGCUCUGCUGAGGAUGGUGUCCCGCACACUCCGUGGUGGCUGCCUGAAGGCGUCUUUGUCAACGGGCUCUACCCCCAAGCUGCUCCGAACAAGACACAGACACUUUGAAAUGAACCAGGAAUGAAAUAAAGGACCCUUGAAACAGCUGUGCCUGAGCCUCCCAGGCCAAGUUGGCACAGGGGGCAGGGCCAGGCAUUUGCUGAACGCCCCCAGGCAUCGCACCUGCCCUCCUCGGCACCUUCCAGAAGCCCCAGAGCCUGGGUCCAUGGGCAGCUGUGCCCCUCCAUCUGUCCCGCAGACAGUGAAGGAAGACCACCCCGUAAGGCCAACCACACACAGUUCCAUACACCCAGAUGAUCUCCAUCACCCCGAGGGGACCCCCCCCAACGUUGCGCCUGGAGAAACAGGCUCCAGGCUCCGCCCUCCGCAGAGCCCCUCAUCAGCUGAGAGAGACCAGCCUCCAGCCAACUCCACACAGCAGGGUUGAGGCUAGACCCGCAGCAGGCGGUAUGGUGGGAGUGGCCGGGUGAGGCCCUGCCGCUCAGACACAGCUGAGGCCAGCUUCCUGGUCCCACUUCUGCUCCCAGGGAGGGCUGGCAGGAGAGGUAACCCUCACACUUGGCUUUGGGGACACAAAUGAGGACUCUCUUUCCCUUGGCAGCUAUCACUGGUGAUAACAGCAGCACUGAGCUCCAGCGGAAGCACUGGCUCUGUGCUCAUACGGUUACGCACACGUGGCCAGAUGGGUCCCCUGACUCCAAAGCGCAUUCCUUCCCCCACACCACUUGGCCAGCUUGUUGAAGGGGAUAUUAAGUGGCGGAGCGGGUGGACUCCUGAGCACCUACUGAGUGGCAAGCCCUUUAUCUCUAGACAUCAGGGAUGAAACACAAACUCCGCCUCCAUGAAACUGAUGUUCUAAAGGGGAGACAGAUCACAAUCAGAUCCAUAAGGAAAAGUGUGUCUGUGUGUAUCUUCCUCUCUAGGGAAAAAUACAGCAGGGUGAGGGGAUUGAGUGGGAGUGCAAUCAGGGAAGACUUCCUGAAGGCAGUGACUGGUGACUGGAAUGAAGCAUGAGAAUGAGCCAUGCAGGUUGCCCAGAGAGAGCAUCCAGGCAGAGGGAGCAGAAAGUUCCAUCCUCACCCAGCUCUGCCGGCCCAGGUACUUUCUCCUCUGCCUUCUACUCCCAGUCUCACUGCAGUGCAACACACUUCAGUUUUCUGGGAACUCCUGAUGGAAAGUGGCUGUAUUUGUUCAUCCCUAUAGCCUUGGGGCACAGCCAGCAGCCCCUGGAGGAAGCCCCGCAGGUGGGUAAAGAGACACAGGGCUCCCAGCCGGCCCUGCCUCACCUCUGCGCCGGUGGCCCAUCCAUGAUGAUGUUGAUCCAUAGGAUCUGCAUGGCGUUGAGGGGGCUGGGCAGGUUGAACACGGUGGACAGAGUGAUGAGACUCAGGGCGGAGAUGCUCCUGCGGGGCA
rnacentral:lncRNA from 1 species